GUCUCUGUGGCGCAGUGGGUUAGCACGUUCGGCUGUUAACUGAAAGCUUGGUGUUUCGAGCCCACCCAAGGACC
rfam:Oryctolagus cuniculus chromosome 13, whole genome shotgun sequence.